rnacentral:rRNA from 1 species
CAUGUCCCUAGUGUACCGGUUGUGACGCCAGUCGCAGCGCCGGGUAGCCAUAACAUGGAAGAGAUAACCGCUGAAAGCAUCUAAGCGGGAAACUCGCCUCAAAAUAAGUUCUCGCCAUUAGAGCCGUGGAAGACCACCACGUUGAUAGGCCGGAUGUGGAAGUGCAGUAAUGCAUGAAGCUAACCGGUACUAAUAGCUCGAUUGGCUUGAUACG